rnacentral:snRNA from 1 species
GGAUGUAAGGCUAAUCUGGCUGUGACAUCUGUCACCCCAUUGAUCGCCAGGGUUGAUUUGGCCAAUCUGGCUGGCUAGGUGGGUGUCCCCCUCCUCCCUCAGCGAUCCAUGUGGGUCCCUCCCAAAGCUGUGUGCUAGGUUGAAGAGGAUGGCCUUCCCCCCAGGGUAUACGAGUAGCUGCGCUCUCCUGCUAGAACCUCCAAACAAGAUCUCAAUAAAACACUUACACACUGUGGUCCAAGAACAUUCAAAUAAUAAACCAAAAAGAAACAGAUGUUAAAGAUUGGUCUUCAAAC